rnacentral:rRNA from 1 species
CGAGUAGUGGUCACUUUUAUUGAGCCUAAAGCGUUCGUAGCCGGAUUUUGUAAAUCUUCAGAUAAAGCCUGAAGCUUAACUCCAGAAAGUCUGAAGAGACUGCAAGACUUGAGAUCGGGUGAGGUUAAACGUACUUUCAGGGUAGGGGUAAAAUCCUGUAAUCCCGGAAGGACGACCAGUGGCGAAAGCGUUUAACUAGAACGAAUCUGACGGUAAGGAACGAAGGCUAGGGUAGCAAACCGGAUUAGAUACCCGGGUAGUCCUAGCUGUAAACAUUGCCCAUUUGAUGUUGCUUUUCCGUUGAGGGAAGGCAGUGUCGGAGCGAAGGUGUUAAAUGGGCCGCUUGGGAAGUAUGGUCGCAAGACUGAAACUUAAAGGAAUUGGCGGGGGAGCACCGCAACGGGAGGAAUGUGCGGUUUAAUUGGAUUCAACGCCGGAAAACUCACCGGGAACGACCUGUGCAUGAGAGUCAACCUGACGAGCUUACUCGAUAGCAGGAGAGGUGGUGCAUGGCCGCCGUCAGCUCGUACCGUAGGGCGUUCACUUAAGUGUGAUAACGAGCGAGACCCACAUCUUUAAUUGCAAAUGUAUAUGAGAAUAUGCAUGCACUUUAGAGAAACCGCCAGCGCUAAGCUGGAGGAAGGAGUGGUCGACGGCAGGUCAGUACGCCCCGAAUUUCCCGGGCUACACGCGCAUUACAAAGAACGGGACAAUACGUUGCAACCUCGAAAGAGGAAGCUAAUCGCGAAACCCGUCCAUAGUUAGGAUUGAGGGCUGUACUCGCCCUCAUGAAUCCUGGAUUCCGUAGU